GACGAACCUUGCUAACGUUAUUCGGAAUCACUGGGCUUAAAGGGUGCGUAGGCUGUGCGGAAAGUUGGGUGUGAAAUACCUCGGCUUAACCGAGGAAUUGCGCCCAAAACUACCGUGCUUGAGUGAGACAGAGGUGAGCGGAACUUAGGGUGGAGCGGUGAAAUGCGUUGAUAUCCUAAGGAACACCGGUGGCGAAAGCGGCUCACUGGGUCUUGUCUGACGCUGAGGCACGAAAGCCAGGGUAGCGAACGGG
rnacentral:rRNA from 1 species